rnacentral:rRNA from 1 species
AGCAGUCGCCGCGGGAAUACGAAGGGGGCUAGCGUUGUUCGGAUUUACUGGGCGUAAAGCGCACGUAGGCGGAUCUUUAAGUCAGAGGUGAAAUCCCAAGGCUCAACCUUGGAACUGCCUUUGAUACUGGGGAUCUCGAGUUCGGGAGAGGUGAGUGGAACUGCGAGUGUAGAGGUGAAAUUCGUAGAUAUUCGCAAGAACACCAGUGGCGAAGGCGGCUCACUGGCCCGAUACUGACGCUGAGGUGCGAAAGCGUGGGGAGCAAACAGGAUUAGAUACCCCUGUAGUCCCUGUCUCUUAUAC